UUUCCAGACUCCUACGGGAGGCAGCAGUGAGGAAUAUUGGUCAAUGGGCGCGAGCCUGAACCAGCCAAGUCGCGUGAGGGAGGACGGCCCUACGGGUUGUAAACCUCUUUUGCCGGGGAGCAACGGGCGUCACGUGUGGCGCCACUGAGAGUACCCGUAGAACAAGCAUCGGCUAACUCCGUGCCAGCAGCCGCGGUAAUACGGAGGAUGCGAGCGUUAUCCGGAUUUAUUGGGUUUAAAGGGUGCGCAGGCGGCACGGCAAGCCGGCGGUCAAAUCGCGGGGCUCAACCCCGCCCAGCCGUCGGAACUGCCGGGCUAGAGUGGGCGAGAAGUGCGCGGAAUGCGUGGUGUAGCGGUGAAAUGCAUAGAUAUCACGCAGAACUCCGAUUGCGAAGGCAGCGCACCGGCGCCCUACUGACGCUCAGGCACGAAAGCGUGGGUAUCGAACAGGAUUAGAUACCCGCGUACC
rnacentral:rRNA from 1 species